rnacentral:ncRNA from 1 species
AGGACUGUGCGAAAAAGAUAAAUGUCGUCUUGAUGCUUGAAGCAUCAGUGUCGUGUUUCCUAUUUUCGCUUUGUCCU